rnacentral:rRNA from 1 species
UGGGGAAUAUUGCACAAUGGGCGAAAGCCUGAUGCAGCAACGCCGCGUGAGUGAUGAAGGCCUUCGGGUUGUAAAGCUCUGUCUUCUGGGACGAUAAUGACGGUACCAGAGGAGGAAGCCACGGCUAACUACGUGCCAGCAGCCGCGGUAAUACGUAGGUGGCAAGCGUUGCACGGAUUUACUGGGCGUAAAGGAUGCGUAGGCGGAUGCUUAAGUCAGAUGUGAAAUUCCCGGGCUUAACUUGGGAACUGCAUUUGAAACUGGGUAUCUUGAGUGCGGGAGAGGAAAGUGGAAUUCCUAGUGUAGCGGUGAAAUGCGUAGAGAUUAGGAAGAACACCAGUGGCGAAGGCGACUUUCUGGACCGUAACUGACGCUGAGGCAUGAAAGCGUGGGGAGCAAACA